rnacentral:misc_RNA from 1 species
AAACAUUUCAUCUUCUGUAUAAGCUCUUUCUUCCUUAAUUGCAUAUUGCUUAUUGUCAAUUUAACAAUUUAACAGCAGAUUCUGCUGCAAUGAUUAGUCAAAGAGCAACAAAAGUAUCUAGAAAAUGAGAGACAGCCGGAAAAGGGUAAAAGGAAAAUAUAGUUGAUAGUAGUAUUGAUAGAUUAAAACCAUAUUAAUGUCUCUGGUGGUAAUUAAGAAAGAAUUAAUGUUCACAUUGUGCAUCAAGUAUAAACUCUUAACAUAUUAAGUGGUUGUGUUAAGUGCUGAAAGCAGAAAUAUUAUCAAAUGCACUCAAAAUAUUAAGAGCAGAAAUGAAGUUUUACCAGAUAACUUAAAACAAUUAAGUGCUGAAUGCGAGUCUUCAAACGCUCCCUAAGUAGUGAUUUUUCUACACAUAUGAUACCCAAGUCUCAACGCCAGCAUCCUGUCUUAAUCGUGUUAUUGAUUUUCCUUGCUCUUUCUGUUCUUUUGUGUGAU